rnacentral:rRNA from 1 species
ACUCCUACGGGAGGCAGCAGUAGGGAAUCUUCCACAAUGGGCGCAAGCCUGAUGGAGCAACACCGCGUGAGUGAAGAAGGGUUUCGGCUCGUAAAGCUCUGUUGUUAAAGAAGAACACGUAUGAGAGUAACUGUUCAUACGUUGACGGUAUUUAACCAGAAAGUCACGGCUAACUACGUGCCAGCAGCCGCGGUAAUACGUAGGUGGCAAGCGUUAUCCGGAUUUAUUGGGGCGUAAAGAGAGUGCAGGCGGUUUUCUAAGUCUGAUGUGAAAGCCUUCGGCUUAACCGGAGAAGUGCAUCGGAAGCUGGAUAACUUGAGUGCAGAAGAGGGUAGUGGAACUCCAUGUGUAGCGGUGGAAUGCGUAGAUAUAUGGAAGAACACCAGUGGCGAAGGCGGCUACCUGGUCUGCAACUGACGCUGAGACUCGAAAGCAUGGGUAGCGAACAGGAUUAGAUACCCUGGUAGGAUAGCG